rnacentral:rRNA from 1 species
UACGGGGGGGGCAAGCGUUGUUCGGAAUUACUGGGCGUAAAGGGCGCGUAGGCGGCCUGCUAAGUCGAACGUGAAAUCCCUGGGCUCAACCCAGGAACUGCGUCCGAUACUGGUUGGCUUGAAUCCGGGAGAGGGAUGUGGAAUUCCAGGUGUAGCGGUGAAAUGCGUAGAUAUCUGAAGGAACACCGGUGGCGAAGGCGACAUCCUGGACCGGUAUUGACGCUGAGGCGCGAAAGCCAGGGGAGCAAACGGG